UACGUGAGGGUGCGAGCGUUAAUCGGAAUUACUGGGCGUAAAGCGUGCGCAGGCGGUUCGUUGUGUCCGUCGUGAAAGCCCCGGGCUUAACCUGGGAACUGCGAUGGAAACUAGCGAGCUGGAGUGUGGCAGAGGGGGGUGGAAUUCCGCGUGUAGCAGUGAAAUGCGUAGAGAUGCGGAGGAACACCGAUGGCGAAGGCAGCCCCCUGGGCUAACACUGACGCUCAGGCACGAAAGCGUGGGGAGCAAACAGG
rnacentral:rRNA from 1 species